rnacentral:snRNA from 1 species
AUCAAGUGUAGUUGUGUAGUUGGCAUCAAGUGCAGUAUCUGUUCUUAUCAGUUUAAUAUCUGAUACAUCCUCGAUGAGAGGACUUUUUUUUGUGCUCGCUUUGGCAGCACAUAUACUAAAAUUGGAAUGAUACGGAGAAGAUUAGCAUGGCCCUUGCACAAGGAUGACGUGCAAAUUCA